GACGAACGCUGGCGGCGUGCUUAACACAUGCAAGUCGAACGGAAAGGCCCUGCUUUUGUGGGGUGCUCGAGUGGCGAACGUGUGAGUAACACGUGAGUAACCUGCCCUUGACGUUGGGAUAACUUCAGGAAACUGGUGCUAAUACCGGAUAGGAGCUCCUGCUGCAUGGGGGGGGUUGGAAAGUUUCGGCGGUUGGGGAUGGACUCGCGGCUUAUCAGCUUGUUGGUGGGGUAGUGGCUUACCAAGGCAUUGACGGGUAGCCUGCCUGAGAGGGUGACCGGACAGAUUGGGACGGAGAUACGGCACAGACUACUCCGGGAGGCAGCAGUGGGGAAUAUUGCACUGUGGGAGGAAGGAUGAUGCAGCAAAGCCGCGUGGGGGAUGACGGCCUUCGGGUUGUAAACCGCUUUCGCAUGUGACGAAGCGUGAGUGACGGUAAUGGGUAAAGAAGCACCGGCUAACUACGUG
rnacentral:rRNA from 1 species